GAUGAACGCUGGCGGCGUGCCUAAUACAUGCAAGUCGAGCGAACAGACGAGGAGCUUGCUCCUCUGACGUUAGCGGCGGACGGGUGAGUAACACGUGGAUAACCUACCUAUAAGACUGGGAUAACUUCGGGAAACCGGAGCUAAUACCGGAUAAUAUAUUGAACCGCAUGGUUCAAUAGUGAAAGACGGUUUUGCUGUCACUUAUAGAUGGAUCCGCGCCGCAUUAGCUAGUUGGUAAGGUAACGGCUUACCAAGGCAACGAUGCGUAGCCGACCUGAGAGGGGGAUAGGCCACACUGGAACUGAGACACGGUCCAGACGCCUAAGGGAGGCAGCAGUAGGGAAUCUUCCGCAAUGGGCGAAAGCCUGACGGAGCAACGCCGCGUGAGUGAUGAAGGUCUUCGGAUCGUAAAACUCUGUUAUUAGGGAAGAACAAAUGUGUAAGUAACUAUGCACGUCUUGACGGUACCUAAUCAGAAAGCCACGGCUAACUACGUG
rnacentral:rRNA from 1 species